rnacentral:lncRNA from 1 species
CAGAGAUUCAAGUCUAGCGGUGCCCAGGAGGCUGCAAUGUAGGUACUAGGUCUGAGGGAGCGAGUUGUAUCCUAUUUAUGAGCUAGACUGGGAGUCAUGAGUGUCAUUUCUGGCACAGUCAGAGGCCCACCCGAUCCUAAGGAAGGGAACCUAGCACCCAUCUCUUGGUGAAAGAAAUGCUAAUGGCACAUUGUAGGAAGAGCUUGUGAAAUGGGGGAAUUUGUUGCAGCCUUAAAAUUUGCCAUAAUAUUAGUAAUUAUUUUCCAUGGAAAUGGACUAAACAUUUUGUCUCAUGUCUGGUUCCCCAGGAAAUUUUACAUAAAAAUCAAGGAACACUUAAUAAACAUUUGUCUUGUUUGAGACAUUGAUUUCAUCCCUACAGUUCAAAGAGUUCACUGAGAGAGGCAGAAAGUAAGAGAAGGAAUGGAACUUUUUCUCCUCCAUGGUCCAGUGUUCCCUUGUGAGGGGCCCCAAUAGUCCACACUCAACAUGUGGGAGAGCCCAUGGGUCUUCAUCUAAAUUGACAAGUGCUGCACUUUGAUCUCCUCGUCUUCCAGAAGCUUCAUAAAUUAGACUCCUGUGUUUCAAGAUGAAACUAUGCCAUCAGCCAGUCAUGUGAAUGCAAGAUUGACAUGUAGCAGUUUCGGCAUGGAAGGACCACACGGACAGUGAUGAUAACUUUACUUGUGGUCCACGCAGAAAAUGAAUAAUCUUAAUGUAGCUCAUUAGAAGUUUGAAUAAACACAAGUUUAGUGCAUUCUGAAAACACAGCAAGACACACUAUCAGCAAGAAUUAAAUGGGCUUGGAAGUGGGGGGUAAUGUGAAGACUUUCCUGAACUGUUUUGAAGAGUAUUGGCCAGGUAUUUUGUGGAAUAUUCUUCCAUUUACAUUUAUCUGAUGAUUUCUCAUGCUAGAUUGGGGCUACGGGUUUUGGGGAAUAAUGCCAAAAGGUGAAGUACCCUUUUUGUUUCAUUAUAG